rnacentral:lncRNA from 1 species
GUCUUCAGCCGCGGCGCGGUCCUGAUGAGUGCUGUGUCCAGGAUGAUCAUGAAUUCAAGCUCUGGUGCUUGAGGUGAAUUGGUCCGACUUCCAGAAGAGAAGGUUCCCCCCCGCCCCCAGGAAAAGCCAGUGCAGUUACCUGACAGUGAGUAAACCCGGUGUUUCUCGUGGUUUCGUCAGAUCUACCAUCGCCUGCCAGCCUGACCUGCUUUGACCCCGCAGACUGUCCCUGUCCCCUCUGAACAAAAGGAUGGCUGUUGCACAGCAGCCCUAUGGUUUGGCACAGUUGUUGCAGGUACUUAAAAUGGCUGCCUGAACUUAAACUGGGAGGGUAGCCAUUAGGAGAUAUUUCUUAGGAGUCUUGUGAUUUGGAGACUCCAUUUGUUCUUCAUUCCUCCCUAAAUGGCCAACCACCACGGACAAGGAAUCACCUGCCACUCAUGAUCCCAGCACUCACAGAACAGGAGCAGGGCAGGGAUGCCGGAUGGAGCUAACUGGGCUACCGAGGGACACCUGGCGAAGCAGGUAAUGGCCUUACACUAUACAGAUGAUGCAGAUGUCUCCAUAUCCUUACUACUGAACCACAAGUGAUACCCUGAAAGCCCCUGGAAUAUGCAGUGCACCAAUGUAAGGUACAAGUUCCAGAUUACACAAGCAGAGAGUAGUGGCAUCGCACUGAAUGCAAGAAACUGAAGUUCCAGGCCUUAGAAUUAGUAAUGUAUGCUUAAGAGUGUCCAGUCCUCAGGACAGAUGUAGGAAGUUUGGAAGCAGUGAGAUAUAAGUAGAAGUGUUUUGUAAGUGUACAUAGAUGCUGAAGAAAGGGAAGAAACUGAGUAUAAAUAGUUAAUAGAAAAAUGUUGCCUGGCGGUGGUGGUGCACGCCUUUAAUCCCAGCACUUGGGAGGCAGAGGCAGGCAGAUUUCUGAGUUCGAGGCCAGCCUGGUCUACAGAGUGAGUUCUAGGACAGCCAGGGCUACACAGAGAAACCCUGUCUUGAAAAAACCAAAAAAAUAAAAAUAUUAAUAUUUGAAUAUAAUAAAGUAAAGCCUCUGAAGUAAGAAUGAGCAAUAUUUAAAAAGAAAAUGUUUCAAAAAUGGAAAAUGAUAUAGCAGAAGGCACCUGGACCCUGUGUAGUUCCUUUUGAGUUACCAUGGGGUGCGUGGGUUACAAUAGGUUUAACAAUCUCUCCAAGAUCAGGAUCAAGAAGAAGAGUAAAUCUUGUCUUCUCUUAAAUUCACAGGAAGCAGACUUAGGUAAGGAGCGGAGGGACACAAGGGUACAAGGUGUCGGACCAAAAUUAGGGGAUCUUCUAAAUCAGAAUAAAACAUGUUCUCCACUCAAGUCAGAAGAACUCCAUUCAAAGCCUACAGUGCCAACCUAUGACAAGAUUGCAGGAUGGCCUGUUAGGAAGCCCACAAUGACUUUCCCAUUCACUAUAAGUUACCCACAGAUGAAAGAAUUUCAUAAUGUCACAAUGAAUUUGGUUGCCGACACAGAGAUCCUAGAUCUAAGGAGAUUUCAGGAGGCAGAGGUAGGCUGCUGAACACAUGCCAUGUGAACAGCUAUUAUAUAACUUGAGUGUUUACAAAGUAACUUAAGCUGUAGAUGGAGCCAUAUCAGGUCCAGGUGCUAGAGAACUUUCCAUUAAAUCUUUAAUUUUGAGAAUGCUAAUGCUGAAUGCAAAAAAA